rnacentral:lncRNA from 1 species
GAGAGUCCCCAGCCAUGGAGGUGACAAUGUGCCCUGGAGCCUCACAAGGCAGCAGCCACCAGGAAGAGGCAUGGAGGCCAGGAAGGUCCUGGAACACCAGAAUUUGGCCAACAGAGCCUGAAGCCAGCACAUCGUGGAGGGGCAGCAGCCUGGGGGCAUUCGGGAGACCUGGAGAUGUGGCAGCUGGCCAGGAGCUGGGGGUGAACCCAGUUGCCUCCCCUUGGAACCAGAUGAAGCCCCAGAGGCACGUAGUCCUUUUUCCCAGACGGGGGUCCUGGUCCUGUUUCCCUGGGAAUAAGGCUUGAGCAUGAGCUCUCUGGGACCCAGCCCCCGACCAGAACCACACCGUGCAUUCAGGCUUGGGAGGAACUGGAGCACCAGGGAGCCAAGGCUGCAACUUUGAACAUUUGCCACUGCUGACAUCGUGGCCACCCACCUGGGGCCAGAAAGAGCCCCUCCGCUGCCCCCAGAGCAUGGGUGAAGAGACGAACGCUUAGCCUACUACCUCCUCUCAUGCCAGGCCCAGCUGAUGGGAAUAUUUUGCUGAGAUAUUUCUAGCACCAGCAGCAAUUAAAGCAGAUUUUCUCUUCCACUCCCCUUCCCCAAAACAAGAAUAAAUCAGUUCU